AACGCACCUUGCGCUCCUCGGCAUCCCGAGGAGCAUGCCUGUUUGAGUGUCGCGAAACCGCCAACCGCCGCCCCCCCACCGGGGGAGAACGGCCUACGGUUGGAGGAUGGACGGCUGCCGGCGGGGCCCCCCCCUGCCGGCUCGUCCCAAAUGGAGUGGGCAGGUCCCAGCAGCUCCGCCCCGUCCGCCCAGCGUGAUAGGCAUCACCAGCUGGAGAGCGGAGGAGGGGCUGCCGCUGUGCCCCAGGCAUCGCAGCAACGCGCAUCAUCUGACCUCAAAUCAGGCAGGAGUACCCGCUGAACUUAA
rnacentral:misc_RNA from 1 species